UACAGAGGGGGCAAGCGUUGUUCGGGAUUACUGGGCGUAAAGGGCGCGUAGGCGGCCCGCUAAGUCGAACGUGAAAUCCCCGAGCUCAACUCGGGAACUGCGUCCGAUACUGGCGGGCUUGAAGCCGGGAGAGGGAUGCGGAAUUCCAGGUGUAGCGGUGAAAUGCGUAGAUAUCGGGAAGAACAUCGGUGGCGAAAGCGCUCUACUGGACCGCAACUGACACUCAGGGACGAAAGCUAGGGGAGCGAAUGGG
rnacentral:rRNA from 1 species